GGUUAAGCGACUAAGCGUACACGGUGGAUGCCCUGGCAGUCAGAGGCGAUGAAGGACGUGCUAAUCUGCGAAAAGCGCCGGCGAGGUGAUAUGAACCCUUGACCCGGCGAUGUCCGAAUGGGGAAACCCAGUGUGUUCCGACACACUAUCGUUAACUGAAUACAUAGGUUAACGAGGCGAACCGGGGGAACUGAAACAUCUAAGUACCCCGAGGAAAAGAAAUCAACCGAGAUUCCCCCAGUAGCGGCGAGCGAACGGGGAGCAGCCCGGAGUCUGAAUCAGCUUGUGUGUUAGUGGAACGGUCUGGAAAGUCCGACGGUACAGGGUGAUAGUCCCGUACACGAAAAUGCACAGGUUGUGAACUCGAAGAGUAGGGCGGGACACGUGGUAUCCUGUCUGAAUAUGGGGGGACCAUCCUCCAAGGCUAAAUACUCCUGACUGACCGAUAGUGAACCAGUACCGUGAGGGAAAGGCGAAAAGAACCCCGGCGAGGGGAGUGAAAAAGAACCUGAAACCGUGUACGUACAAGCAGUGGGAGCCUCUUUAUGGGGUGACUGCGUACCUUUUGUAUAAUGGGUCAGCGACUUAUAUUCUGUAGCAAGGUUAACCGUAUAGGGGAGCCGAAGGGAAACCGAGUCUUAACUGGGCGUUAAGUUGCAGGGUAUAGACCCGAAACCCGGUGAUCUAGCCAUGGGCAGGUUGAAGGUUGGGUAACACUAACUGGAGGACCGAACCGACUAAUGUUGAAAAAUUAGCGGAUGACCUGUGGCUGGGGGUGAAAGGCCAAUCAAACCGGGAGAUAGCUGGUUCUCCCCGAAAGCUAUUUAGGUAGCGCCUCGUGAACUCAUCUUCGGGGGUAGAGCACUGUUUCGGCUAGGGGGCCAUCCCGGCUUACCAACCCGAUGCAAACUACGAAUACCGAAGAAUGUUAUCACGGGAGACACACGGCGGGUGCUAACGUCCGUCGUGAAGAGGGAAACAACCCAGACCGCCAGCUAAGGUCCCAAAGUCAUGGUUAAGUGGGAAACGAUGUGGGAAGGCACAGACAGCCAGGAUGUUGGCUUAGAAGCAGCCAUCAUUUAAAGAAAGCGUAAUAGCUCACUGGUCGAGUCGGCCUGCGCGGAAGAUGUAACGGGGCUAAACCAUGCACCGAAGCUGCGGCAGCGACACUAUGUGUUGUUGGGUAGGGGAGCGUUCUGUAAGCCGUUGAAGGUGUGCUGUGAGGCAUGCUGGAGGUAUCAGAAGUGCGAAUGCUGACAUAAGUAACGAUAAAGCGGGUGAAAAGCCCGCUCGCCGGAAGACCAAGGGUUCCUGUCCAACGUUAAUCGGGGCAGGGUGAGUCGACCCCUAAGGCGAGGCCGAAAGGCGUAGUCGAUGGGAAACAGGUUAAUAUUCCUGUACUUGGUGUUACUGCGAAGGGGGGACGGAGAAGGCUAUGUCAGCCGGGCGACGGUUGUCCCGGUUUAAGCAUGUAGGCGGAGGUUCCAGGUAAAUCCGGUACCUUGUUAACGCUGAGGUGUGAUGACGAGGCACUACGGUGCUGAAGUGAUAAAUGCCCUGCUUCCAGGAAAAGCCUCUAAGCAUCAGGUAACACGAAAUCGUACCCCAAACCGACACAGGUGGUCAGGUAGAGAAUACCAAGGCGCUUGAGAGAACUCGGGUGAAGGAACUAGGCAAAAUGGUGCCGUAACUUCGGGAGAAGGCACGCUGAUAGGUAGGUGAAGUCCCUGCGGACGGAGCUGAAAUCAGUCGAAGAUACCAGCUGGCUGCAACUGUUUAUUAAAAACACAGCACUGUGCAAACACGAAAGUGGACGUAUACGGUGUGACGCCUGCCCGGUGCCGGAAGGUUAAUUGAUGGGGUUAGCGGCAACGCGAAGCUCUUGAUCGAAGCCCCGGUAAACGGCGGCCGUAACUAUAACGGUCCUAAGGUAGCGAAAUUCCUUGUCGGGUAAGUUCCGACCUGCACGAAUGGCGUAAUGAUGGCCAGGCUGUCUCCACCCGAGACUCAGUGAAAUUGAACUCGCUGUGAAGAUGCAGUGUACCCGCGGCAAGACGGAAAGACCCCGUGAACCUUUACUAUAGCUUGACACUGAACACUGGUCCUUGAUGUGUAGGAUAGGUGGGAGGCUUUGAAGCGUGGACGCCAGUCUGCGUGGAGCC
rnacentral:rRNA from 1 species